UACGAAGGGGGCUAGCGUUGUUCGGAAUCACUGGGCGUAAAGGGCGUGUAGGCGGUCAGGUAAGUGGAAUGUGAAAUCCCUCGGCUCACCCGAGGACCUGCAUCCCAAACUGCCUGGCUUGAGUAUGGGAGAGGAUGAGGGAAUUCCUGGUGUAGCGGUGAAAUGCGUAGAUAUCAGGAGGAACACCGGUGGCGAAGGCGCUCAUCUGGCCCAAUACUGACGCUGAAGCGCGAAAGCUAGGGGAGCAAACGGG
rnacentral:rRNA from 1 species